rnacentral:tRNA from 1 species
AUUUAAGUAGUUUAUAGAGAACAAUAGCUUGUGGUGCUGUAAGAAUGGUUAUAUCUUGGAUU